AGAGUGAACGCUGGCGGUAGGCCUAACACAUGCAAGUCGAACGGCAGCACGGUAAGAGCUUGCUCUUAUGGGUGGCGAGUGGCGGACGGGUGAGGAAUACAUCGGAAUCUACCUUUUGGUGGGGGAUAACGUAGGGAAACUUACGCUAAUACCGCAUACGCCCUUCGGGGGAAAGCCGGGGACCAGCAAUGGCCUGGUGCUGAUAGAUGAGCCGAUGUCGGAUUAGCUAGUUGGUGAGGUAAUGGCUCACCAAGGCGACGAUCCGUAGCUGGUCUGAGAGGAUGAUCAGCCACACUGGAACUGAGACACGGUCCAGACUCCGUAGGGAGCAG
rnacentral:rRNA from 1 species